AACUUUUAGAGGUGGAUCACUCGGCUUGUGCAUUGAUGAAGAACAUAGCUAACUGCGAGAAUUAAUGUGAAUUGCAGGACACAUUGAUCAUUGACACGUUGAAUGCACUUGCGACCCCAGGUUCCUCCCAGGUCUACGCCUGUCUGAGUGUUG
rnacentral:rRNA from 1 species